rnacentral:snRNA from 1 species
GGAUGUGAGGGCACUCUGGCUGUGACAUCUGUCACCCCAGUGAUCACCAGGGCUGAUCCAGCUGAUCUGGAUGGCUAGGCAAGUGUCCCCUUCCUCCAUCACCACUCCUUGUGCAUCCCAAGAUGCCUGAAGAUGUGGCCUCAGUGAAAGAGAACAACCUUCCCCAAAUAGAGGAGGACUGGUCUUUGGCCAAGGGUAUAUGAGUAGCUGUGCUCUCCCGCUAGAACCUCCAAACAAGCUCUCAAGACUUAAGAGUGAAGCCUAGACAAGUCACUGGUAGUCAGU